UAUUCAGAGUGGGGUACUUUUUGAAAUACUCUUUGAAUCUUUCUCAUGCCUCUGUAUAGCUUUCGAGGUCCUUUUGCUUGAAAGUAUAGAAUUUAUUUCUGAUAUG
rnacentral:snoRNA from 1 species